rnacentral:rRNA from 1 species
CAGCCGUAAACUAUGCGCGUUAGGUGUACUGGUGACCACGAGUCACCGGGGUGCCGAAGGGAAACCGUGAAACGUGCCGCCUGGGAAGUACGGUCGCAAGGCUGAAACUUAAAGGAAUUGGCGGGGGGAGCACCACAACGGGUGGAGCCUGCGGUUUAAUUGGACUCAACGCCGGAAAUCUCACCGGAUAGGACAGACAUAUGAUAGUCGGGCCGAAGACUCUACUUGAUGAUCUGAGAGGAGGUGCAUGGCGUCAGUGACU